AAUGGGGGCAACCCUGAUCCAGCAAUGCCGCGUGAGUGAUGAAGGCCUUAGGGUUGUAAAGCUCUUUCGCGCGCGACGAUGAUGACGGUAGCGCGAGAAGAAGCCCCGGCUAACUUCGUGCCAGCAGCCGCGGUAAUACGAAGGGGGCGAGCGUUGUUCGGAAUUACUGGGCGUAAAGGGCGCGUAGGCGGCCUAACAAGUCAGGCGUGAAAGCCCCGGGCUUAACCUGGGAAUUGCGCUUGGGACUGUGAGGCUUGAGUACGGGAGAGGAGAGUGGAAUUCCCAGUGUAGAGGUGAAAUUCGUAGAUAUUGGGAAGAACACCGGUGGCGAAGGCGGCUCUCUGGACCGUAACUGACGCUGAGGCGCGAAAGCGUGGGGAGCAAACAGGAUUAGAUACCCUGGUAGUCCACGCUGUAAACGAUGUGCGCUAGACGUUGGAAGGCCUAGCCUUCCGGUGUCGCCGCUAACGCUUUAAGCGCACCGCCUGGGGAGUAC
rnacentral:rRNA from 1 species